UAUGGCGCUAUAGCCAAGUGGUUACGGCGACAGAUUAGAAAUCUGUUCUCCUUUGGAGGCGCAGGUUCGAAUCCUGCUGGCGUCGACGUUCUUUUUU
rfam:Dichomitus squalens LYAD-421 SS1 unplaced genomic scaffold DICSQscaffold_18, whole genome shotgun sequence.